rnacentral:antisense_RNA from 1 species
AUGGCAGUAACGCACCAUCUUUCUUCACACAGGGUCAGCGGUGGAGGGCCUGAAACUAACCAACUGAACUUGUCCAGUCAUCGCAAGCAGAGUAUUUUUUUAAAGAAGGUGUGAUCAAGAAGAACACUGACACAGCUCUAUGGAUGCUAAAUUCAAGGCAAAUUCACUGAAAGACAUUCUUCUCACCAGAGAAUAUCCUGGGAGAUGGAAUAACUCGAAGGAAUGAGGACUACAGGAAAAUACUUGUCUCAAGACAAAAUGACAAAAAGCCAGAGCAUUCAGAGCUCAGAGAACAUGUCACAGAGCUUCAGAUCAGCUGGCCAUGGAGGUUUAACAAGGAAGCCAUUAGGGACACCCUGCUGGGCCUAAUUGUUUUUAGAACAUAUGGAACUUUGUGCCACCACACAGCUGUGAACUCCCUGGCUUUUGUCAGCUUGUGUCACAACCUCAAGAAGAAAAUAGUAGCUCACUAACGCCCCCACCUCUGACUUCCCACUAAUUUACUAUAUUUCUUCUUAUAACCUCCUGUACAACUGUAAAGCAACUGGACAAUAUAUAAACUCUGCCUCUCCUCUACUUUUAAUUCUAUAAAGAAUAUAGUAUGACUUGUCACAGAGAAACAGUAUAGAAGAAGCAUAAUACUGGGCAUAUGACAGAAGCUCAAUAAAUACUUAAUGUAUCUGG